rnacentral:rRNA from 1 species
AAUCAACGCUGGCGGCGUGCCUCAGACAUGCAAGUCGAACGAUUAAGACUUCCUUCGGGAAGUGUAUAAAGUGGCGCACGGGUGAGUAACACGUAAGUAAUCUACCUUCGAGUGGGGAAUAACGUUCGGAAACGAACGCUAAUACCGCAUAAUGCAGCGGCAUCGCAAGAUGACAGUUGUUAAAGGAAUUUAUUUCGCUUGAAGAGGAGCUUGCGGCAGAUUAGCUAGUUGGUAAGGUAACGGCUUACCAAGGCUACGAUCUGUAUCCGGUCUAAGAGGACGGUCGGACACACUGACACUGAAUAACGGGUCAGACUCCUACGGGAGGCAGCAGUCGGGAAUUUUGGGCAAUGGGGCGAAAGCCUGACCCAGCAACGCCGCGUGAAGGAU